CUGCAGAAAUCAAUGAAUGGAGCGGUCUGGCCUGGUCUUCUCUCUCUCCUCCCCCCCCCCCGCUCUAGCAGCAAUGGUUUGGCCCGAAGCGGAGGCUGUAAGAAGCGGCCGGAAGGGGAAGGGCGUCUCUUUUCCCGCUCUCGGCGCGCGCGAGGGAGGUGGCGGUUGAGAGAGCCGCUGAGGGCAAGUACCAAGCGGGGGGUUUGAAAAGCGCGGGAAGAGCUGUGGGGACUGGAGCCAACCAAGUAUAGGCAAAACCCACACAGUUUUGACGAAACAUUUCACUUCAGAAUAUAAGGGCAUCGAUAAGGGGAAAUCGUCGGCGCCAUCUUUGUGGGCGCACGGAGUCGCGGGAGCGGCCAUUUUGGUUGAGGGCUGUAAGCAGGCUGCAUU